CCAAAGCCUAGGGCGGCCACCCGAACACCGGCUCUCCUUCACCGGCUGGCUUUGGUCCUUCCAGAAGGG
rnacentral:sRNA from 1 species